AGUGAACGCUGGCGGUAGGCCUAACACAUGCAAGUCGAACGGCAGCACAGUAAGAGCUUGCUCUUACGGGUGGCGAGUGGCGGACGGGUGAGGAAUACAUCGGAAUCUACUUUUUCGUGGGGGAUAACGUAGGGAAACUUACGCUAAUACCGCAUACGACCUACGGGUGAAAGCAGGGGAUCUUCGGACCUUGCGCGAUUGAAUGAGCCGAUGUCGGAUUAGCUAGUUGGCGGGGUAAAGGCCCACCCAGGCGACGCUCCGUAGCUCGUCUGAGAGGAUGAUCAGACCCACUGGGGAGCAGACACGGGCCACACGCCUACGGGAGGCAGCAGAGGGGGAAAUUGGGCACAGGGCGCAAGACUGUGCCAGCCACACCGCGUGGGUGAAGAAAGGGCUUGGGUUGUGAAGACCCUUUGUGUGGGAAGAAAAGAAGCAGGUGAAUACCCCGCUGUGCUGAGGGUACACAAAGAAUAAGAACCGGCUCAAUUCGCGU
rnacentral:rRNA from 1 species